AAUAGAUACCCCGGUAGUCCACGCCGUAAACGAUGAGUGCUAAGUGUUAGGGGGUUUCCACCCCUUAGUGCUGCGGCUAACGCAUUAAGCACUCCGCCUGGGGAGUACGGUCGCAAGACUGAAACUCAAAGGAAUUGACGGGGGCCCGCACAAGCGGUGGAGCAUGUGGUUUAAUUCGAAGCAACGCGAAGAACCUUACCAGGUCUUGACAUCCCGCUGACCGCUAUGGAGACAUAGCCUUCCCUUCGGGGACAGCGGUGACAGGUGGUGCAUGGUUGUCGUCAGCUCGUGUCGUGAGAUGUUGGGUUAAGUCCCGCAACGAGCGCAACCCUCGUCCUUAGUUGCCAUCAUUCAGUUGGGCACUCUAAGGAGACUGCCGUACAAAUACGGAGGAAGGUGGGGAUGACGUCAAAUCAUCAUGCCCCUUAUGACCUGGGCUACACACGUGCUACAAUGGACGGUACAAACGGUCGCGAAGUCGCGAGACGGAGCCAAUCCGAAAAAACCGUUCUCAGUUCGGAUUGCAGACUGCAACUCG
rnacentral:rRNA from 1 species